ensembl:lncRNA
GUUAUUUUAAUGCUACAGGUAUGGUGAGUCAAAGUUACCCUAAAGGGAGAUCACAGAGACAACUGUGGUUGAACAUGAAGUAGAUGGCAGGCAUCUGGGAACCUGAUCUUUCGUGUGCUGACAACCUGCCCUCUGAUGGGGCUGUCGUACCCCAGCAGCAGAAUGGACAAACAGCAAUUUUGCACCCCGUUCCGUAUGACGGGCAGUCAUUUCCACUGAAGAGCAGGCCUGGUGUAUUUCUCUCAGGCUUCUCCUUCUACAACAAAUCCCUUUCAUUUGGAUGAAGUCUGGCAAAUGAAAAGCAUCGUAUGCCAGACGCUCGCACAGAUGUUCCCGCAUGGCUUGCAGGAAGAAGUACAAGGAUAAUACAGCACCAGAUAGUGUCUACUAAAAAGGAUCCCAGACUUACUUGACUGUCAAGAAGGCCAGGUAGUCACAGACCUCCACUGAACAAACAGGUAAAAAUAGGUUGUCACAGUAGGCCCAAGAGCCUGGGUCCUGCCUGCGGCACUGGAGCUCCAGCUGGACCGGGAGAGCUCUUAUAUACUGCCAUUGCAGGAGUACGAUAUAAGUACUCUUAAAUAGAUUUGGGGCUCACAUCUUGGACUGGAGACUUCAGAGACAGUUAAUCUAAUCGGCAGAUGAAUUGACUUUGAAUCUCAAAGCAAAGCUGAAUAAUUUUAAUGACACAUAGUUGGAGGAGAUAUAAUAUUGUAAUCCCCUAUCGCAUGGCCAUGGUAAGUACUUACAGAUGAUGAAGAAACCUUGUAAAAAGAAACUGACAAGUUCAAAGCAAGUGAGGAGAAGCAAGAUAUUUUCUGCUGAGUAGUGCUUUCUGUCAGCACUGAAAUGACAACAUACUGCUCACACUGUACAUUUGUUACUGUGAUGAUCUCGUUCUCGAUUUUAAAACAGCUGUUUUUUCUGAGAGGCAUUAUUACACACCAGAAAAAGUUCAUUUGGUCCUAUUCUGCAUUCAAGAGAAAGAAAUUGACCAUAUUUCAUUUAUUUUUAGUAUAUCCCUUGAGCUGAAUUGUUAGAAAGAUAAAGCAUGAAAAUAAUGGUAUAGUAAUAUCUGCCAGGAUCAUGCUAUCCUUUAAAUUUAAACAUCACUUCUAUGCACCGAAGCAUAAUCUUGUACUUGUAAUUAUUAAUCAGCAGCACAUUAUCUGAACUACUCAAAGUCAGAUGUCAUAGUGGGUCCAGAAAAGGAGAUUCACUGCAGUGUCAUGAAGAUGAUUACAAUGAGGCAGCAGUGGAAAAAAGAACUAUUAGCGACAGUAGAACGCAUUGUUGCCAGAGACCCUCUGUUCUUUCCAAUUGUACCCUGCAGCCAAGUGCACAUGGUAAUUUUAAAACAUCAGGUCCUUCAGUUCAUUGUGGGCCUGAAAAUGUAAUAGAAUAGGCCUGGAAAAGGUAAUAAUUUGAGUGUUUCAGUUUUCUGAAAGCAACGUUCAUUUCAUUUUUCAUUUUUUAUUUUAAUGUACUUCAGAGCAUAUUCUCUCCUGUGGUUGCUCACACUGUCCAGUCAAUUUCAAUUAUUUGCCACAUGAAGUAAAGCAUGAUUCUGUAAGUAUAUCUCUAAGUGUAUUAGCUAUCAUCAGUAUGCACUUAUGACUGUUGUAUCCUUGAUUACAGAAGAACACACCACUAUUAUCAGUAAACCUCUUUAACUUGCCACAUUUGUGUUUUAAAUAUGUUUAUCCUGCACAUAGGUGAUGACAAUAAGCUUUCAGAGGCUGCUUCAAAUAAUUACUGUCUUGCAGAAAUGUAUAAUACUUACUUAAGGUUAUUUAGUGCAGAAACUAUAGGGAAGUUCUGAAGAACACAUAGGCUGCAAGGUAAGCUGGUCAAACGCAGCUGAGUGCAUUGCUUGAAAUCUCUAGUAGUUAUUAGGAAGUUGAUGAAUGGAACUUGCCAAAAAGGUUUCCAGUGAAUGGACCACAUUAAUGUUGUUGAUUUGUGACAGUGAUGAUAAUGCUAAUUCAAGGGUUAGGUGGAAGCAAGCAGGGCAAACCGGAUUGAUUAUUAUUUUUUUUAUUUAUUUAAUGAAGCAGACCCAAAUGUAUUUAAUCCAAAAACAUGACAGUUCUGUGCAGUUUACUUAACAGUUAGGAGGGAAGCAUUGUUAGACUAGUCCUUUUUGUGACAGUCGUUUAUUGUUGUUUUCAGCUGCAGCUAAAGGCGAAAUUAUUAAUAAAAAGGGAAAGUGUUCUUGACCUUUAAAGAGG